GACGAACGCUGGCGGCGUGCCUAAUACAUGCAAGUAGAACGCAGUUGCGAACGGGUGAGUAACGCGUAGGUAACUGCCUAAUAGCGGGGGAUAACUAUUGGAAACGAUAGCUACUACCGCAUACUGUGAGAUGGACCUGCGUUGUAUUAGCUAGUUGGUGAGGUAAAGGAUCACCAAGGCGACGAUACAUAGCCGACCUGAGAGGGUGAUCGGCCACACUGGGACUGAGACACAUCCCAGACGCCUACGGGAGGCAGCAGUAGGGAAUUGGCGGCAAUGGACGGAAGUCUGACGGAGAAACGCCGCGUGAGUGAAGAAGGGUUUCGGAUCGUAAAGCUCUUUUGUUAGAUGAGCGGUAACUAACCAGAAAGGGACGGCUAACUACGUGCCAGCAGCUGCGGUAAUUC
rnacentral:rRNA from 1 species